UACGUAGGAUGCGAGCGUUAAUCGGAAUUACUGGGCGUAAAGCGUGCGCAGGCGGCGCGUUAAGACAGGUGUGAAAGCCCCGAGCUUAACUUGGGAAUUGCGCUUGUGACUGGCGUGCUGGAGUGUGGCAGAGGGAGGUGGAAUUCCACGUGUAGCAGUGAAAUGCGUAGAGAUGUGGAGGAACACCGAUGGCGAAGGCAGCCUCCUGGGCCAGCACUGACGCUCAUGCACGAAAGCGCGGGGAGCAAACAGG
rnacentral:rRNA from 1 species